GCUUACGGCCAUACCAGCCUGAACACGCCCGAUCUCGUCCGAUCUCGGAAGCUAAGCAGGGUCGGGCCUGGUCAGUACUUGGAUGGGAGACCGCCUGGGAAUACCAGGUGCUGUAAGCUU
rnacentral:rRNA from 1 species